rnacentral:misc_RNA from 1 species
UACAGAGGGUGCAAGCGUUAAUCGGAAUUACUGGGCGUAAAGCGCGCGUGGGUGGUUUGUUAAGUUGGAUGUGAAAGCCCCGGGCUCAACCUGGGAACUGCAUCCAAAACUGGCAAGCUAGAGUACGGUAGAGGGUGGUGGAAUUUCCUGUGUAGCGGUGAAAUGCGUAGAUAUAGGAAGGAACACCAGUGGCGAAGGCGACCACCUGGACUGAUACUGACACUGAGGCCCGAAAGCCAGGGUAGCGAACCGG